rnacentral:lncRNA from 1 species
UCAUUUGCCAUAAGUUGUAAAACAUACUAACCAGAUGCAUAAAGUAAGAAGGCUAGAACCAAACAAAACAUCGUUGGAGAACUCUUUCCACCCAUUAUGAUCAAUGAAGAAAAACUACGAUUAUGAAAAAGAAGUUGCAACAAUUGUAUUGCCUUCGUGAUAAAUUUAUAGGGAGAGUAACAAGCUUUUCUUUCCUUGUUGUAAAAGAGGGAGUAGUUAAUUGAGUCGGCUAAAAAUGACAUUAGUAUUAUUAAAUACAAAUUAUUGAUUUUGAUUGAGCAAGAUAAAAGUGACAUUUCAACUAACAUAUACAAAUUAUUGGUUUUUCAAAAAUGACAUUCUUGUACCAAAUAUAAAUAAUAGGCAUCUUAUCUCGUCAACAACUUUUUACAUGUUGCUUUUUUAAAUUUAUUAUAUCAUUAUAAUAUAUAAUUUCUCCUUUAAUAUAUAUGUCAUUGCUUUUAAAAUUUGCAAGAAGAUUUUAUUAAUACAAGACGAUAGUUAUUGAAAGUAAGAAAGAGCAUUAUACCUAAAAGAUCCUCUUACUAAUGCAAAGCAGUACUUAAAAAUAAAUAUUUUUAAUAUACACUAAAAGUCUAGAAAGUAAGAACAAAUGUUACAAUGAAAAGGCCAACAUACCUCUCACGAACCAAAAUCUCAUCUAAUCGUGAUGAUACCUAGUGUGUUUUAGUAGUGCCUAUGACUUCGUACUAACGGUUUUGGGAAAUGUAUAGUUACUGGACAUUUGCGGCUAUGUAUAUCAUUUAAUGAUUUAUGAUAAAUGAUUAAAUAGUUCAAUUAUGUUAUUCAAUCACCAUGUGUUAGGCUUACCUAGUCUUAGAGACUAGGUGUCAUCACGACAUCAUACGGGGGGAAACUGGGGUCGUGACAAAUAUGGAUUAGCCGAUAUCGACUUAAUAUCAUCAAACAAUACUAGAGAAUUCAAUUGCAAUAGAUAAAGUUAAGAUCUUUACACUUUUUUCAAAAAGACAACAAACGUCAAACCGGGGUUCGCCCGGUCAAACCCCGGGUCCAAUGGUAGAUUCCGUCCAUCCAUAACCUCACGAUUUCAUAUAUGUGAUUAGUUUCAAAAUGCGAGUCCAAAUCGACUCUCAAAACUCAAUUUCUUAUUUUUCAAAAACUAAGCAAAGUUUCGCCAAUUUCUACUUUGAUUCAAAUGGUUUUGAUGUUAAAAUCUAAGAUAUGUUGAUGGAAUAUGAUUAGAAAUAGAUUAGAAUCACUUGCUCAAGGUUUGUAGGUGAAAAUCCCUUCUCCAAAUCGCCUCCUACUAAGUUUAGGGUUAAAAAAUAUGAGAAUGAGUUCAAAAAUCCCGUCUGCCAACUCUUUAACCAGCUGCAAAUGUCACAUUUGCGACACAUGGUUUGCAUUUGCGAACCCUCACAAUUGUGGACUAGGGCUCGCAUUUGCGAACACUGACAGGCUCAACAUGCAUUGCAAUUGCAAUAAAGCCUUCGCAAUUGCGAACUGGGGAACAUCGCAAAGGCGGGCAAAUUGUUCGCAACUGCGAACAUGACCAAAUUCUGCUAGCUUCGCAAAUGCGAAGGUGAGAUCGCAUUUGCAACAACUGCCCAUCACCUAUCGCCUUCGCAAAUGCGAGCCUGGUGUUCGCAUUUGCGACACCAGAGCAACAUACAUCAGUUUCUGCAAAUAUUCAGUCCAAAAUAUUUCUGGAACAUGUCCGAAACUUAUCUGAGCCAUUGGGGCUCCAAACUAAACAUACACACAAGUCUAACAAUAUCAUACGAACUCGCUCGCGCGAUCAAAACACAAAAAUAGCAUCUAAAACUAUGAAUCGAACACUAAAACGCAUGAUUUUCCAAGAAAUUUUCAAGAACUUCUAGAAUUAGAACUAAGCGUCUGAAACCUAUCAAAUCAGCUCCAAACAACACCAAAUUUUGCAGACAAAUUCUAAAUGCCAUAACGUACCUAUUUUAAAUCCCAAAAUCAAAUUACGAGCUCGAUAGCUAAAAGUCAACCUACGGUCAAACUUUUCAACUUUAAAUUGCCAAAUUUCGGCAAGUCAACACAAAUCAACAUACGGACUGCCAAAAUCAAUUCCGGACAUACGCCAGAGUCCGAAACCACGAUACGAAACUAUCAGAGUCAUAAAAACACAGUUCCUGGGUCGUUUUCACAAAAUUCAAUGUUUGGUCAAUAAUUUCAAAUUUAAACUUCUAAGUCAAGAAUCAAGGGUCCAAUUCAACUCGAAAGCUUUCCAGAACGAAACUAAUCAGCCCCGCAAGUCAUAAAAGCAUAAAUACACAUGUGUGAAGCAAUAAAAAUGGGUAAUGGGGCGCAAUUACACAAAACGACAAAUCGGGUCGUUUCACAUCAUUAUACAUGUGUUAUCUUUAUAUUAGACUCUGACUGUCUUCUUCUGCGCUUGUCACUGCUUUCAGCCCAAGGUUAGCUCUGUUACUUAUUGAGUACAUGGUUGGUUGUACUCAUACUACACUCUGCGAUUCGUGUGCAGAUCCAGGUACAUCUGGACGUGGUGAUUGCUAGAUCUAUGCUAGUACCUGUUUGGAGAUUUCAAGGUAGCAGCUAUGACGUCCGCGGAUCUCGACUCUCUUUUCCUUAUUUUCUUCAGUACUGUUCUAUUAAUCAAACAGUUGUACUAGGGAGCUUGUUUAUGUUUUGAUACUCAGUAGUGCUCUUGUACUCGUUGAUACCGUAUUUUGGGGUGGUUGUAGUAGUAUUUAUGUUAUUUGUAGCAGAUAUUUAUGACAUUUCCAUUGUUUAGUUUAUUAAACAAUGUUUAUUCAAACGUCUAACUGCUAUGCGGUUGUUUUGUCUAGCAAGUGUGUUAAGCGCCAUCACGACAGAUUGAGAUUUUUGGUCGUGACGAUUUUAUAUAAAUCUCAAACACACCCAACGGAAUAUACAACAAUCCAAUAAAAAACAACUCAAAAUUAGGAGAAAUAUUUAAAAAUACAUUACCACAUCAUAGGUUCUAGAAGUUGAUAUAUCUACAUAAUCAUAAUGAUUGUUUACGACCUCAACUUCAGUACAAAUCUUAUUUUAGUAUUUUGUACGAACCUCAAUAAAAAUAUUAUUUUAAUAAUUAUGGACCACAGCUGCCAUGGGGGCUGAAAACGGAACACUCAAAGGCACCAGGGUAACACUUGGGGCCACAAGUUGCACCAAUACAGUCGCUGUCAGUCUUACAACACCUAGUGUAUAUGCAAAAUCCAAGUUUUCUAGGACGACUAAAAUAGAAGGGUCCUGCAUACAAAAAACAAGUCCCAUAAUACUCAUACAUUUAUCAAAGCCAUCACUAAUUUAGAAAAAAAUAGAAGAUUCGUAAUAACUUCGUAUAGCAUACAUUAUACGAAGUUAUACGNNNNNNNNNNNNNNNNNNNNNNNNNCUUUUUCUUUUUAGGAGAUAAAUUUACUUUAUGAGCACCACACAAACACAUAUAUUUUCAGUUUUCUUGAAAAACUUUGUAUUAAGACAAUAGCUGUUGUCAGACAAAAAUGAUCAAUACUAUGAUUUAAAAUUAUAGAUUCCUUUUACCUUGACUUAUUCAAGAUACACAUCGUAUAAUACAUUUAGAAAACUUCAUUUAAAAAUAGAACACGAUACUAACUUAAGAAGCGAAAAGUUUAAAUUCUUUGCACACACUAAACUUUGAGGGCUUAAAACUGAAAGUUUGUCCUAAUAUACUUCAUAUAUACGGAUACAUUUGUGCCAAUUAUCAAUUUCUAUACGCCCGUAUCAUUAAAUGAUAUUUAUGUUUUUUGACACCUUAAAUAAUUACCACAAAUUGAUGCUUGGACUAAAAACUGAUCAAUUAGAACUAAAAAUAGAGUCACAUACCAUAAUAACUUUAUAUGAUCGAUCAACAUAUGUAUUAAUCUUUUGAAUGUAGAAAGCAGAUUUUUCAUGAUCAUGCUAUUAGAAUUAGGGGUGGGUAUAAAAUCCGAAAAACCGAAUUCCGAACCGAAUCGAAUUAAUUUGGUAUUUCGGUUUCAGUCUUUUCGAUAUUUCGGUUUAUUUCGGUACAGAAAUUUCGGUAUUUCGUUAAUUUGGUAUGGUAUACGGUAUCGGGUUUUUGAUAUUUCGGUAUUUCGGUAUAGUACCGAAAUACCAAAAUAGUUUAGUUUAUUUUUGUUGCUGCAUAGUUGGAAACGUUGUAGAUCACAACUUUUACUGUUGUCAGGUGACUUGUUUAUCACCCAAUAUGGGUUGGGUUAAUCCAUGGGGAGCCCUGAUAUUUUCAAUCAGUUUUAGUUUAUUAACGGUCCAUUUAGAUAAAAUCCGAAUGAUUUCUUAAAACAGUUGCCUAUCUUACUAAAAUGAAAUCUGCAAUGGUAUAUCCAAAAUGGUAAUUUUUUCUCUGUGAAAUGUCUCAAAGUGAUGCCUAGUCUUAUAGCAAAACUUGAUUUUACCUUCUUUGUACAACCUUUCCCCCGUUCUAUUCUAAAAUUAUAGAAAUAGAGAGUAAAUUGUGUACUGAUCUCUUAUUCAAUACUAAGGUGUUAAAUAAUUAUAUUCUUGACUAUCAUGCAAUAGGAUAUUUGGUAUACAUAGUGUACUGGUGUUAAUGUAAAUAAUUUGUGACUGAAUAAGAAUAAUUCGGAUGUAACAACAUAAUAUUCUUAAAUAUAGCAUCUCUACUCUUUGAAUUUUAAAAUAUUGAAAUUAAUUAAACAUUAAGAAUAUAAAAUAUGUAGAGAGAACAUAGCUUUAUUUACAAAAUAGAUGCAUAGAAACUACUCUUGUUCUGAAAUUCCUAAACUUUCAAUAAUAUUCUAUAAACAUGUUUUAUAUAUCAUGACCUUUGCAAAAGAUUCUUACUUUAUUUCAGUUUUUGUAUAAAAAGAAUCGCAAAUUAUAGUGUUUUCGUUAUCAAGCUGAUUGAACUGUACUAUUACGGAUUACUAGCCCCAUUUAACCUUGAGCAUGUUAAAACAAUCUCAACCCAUUUAGCCUUGAUAAGAACUUGCUGAGUUCAGGUUGUGCUACGUAUUACGUCGUAUGUCCCCACAGUCGAUGCCUUCGUGGAAAUACUCUUGUCUAAAAACCUAAUAUGCAAUUCUACCAAGAUCACACUUUUUGUGCCUCAGGUGAAGCAUUUUGACCUUUUGUUUGGGAUGUCAAGUCAUCCAAAGGUUUUUUUCUACAUAUACACCAAUUUAUGUACCAUUUUUUUUAAUUAAGAAACAAACAAAAUUUUUGAUUCUAUAUCAGAUUGAUCUUUGGUGGAAUCUCAAACAACAUGGAUUAAAUUAGUUAAGGAGUGGGGGAGACACUCUAGAUUUGAUUUAAACCGAAACCGUACCGAACUAAAAUAAAAAAUACUGAACCGUACCGAAAUAUUUUGGUACGGUAUUUGGUAUACAUAAUUGAUAAACCGAAUACCGAAUCGAAAUUCUUAAAUACCGAACCGAAGUACCGAAUGACCACCUAAUUAGUAUUAUGUUAGCUAUUAUAUUGAUGUCUAAUUGAUUAAAGAACAAUUUGCUUGUUGUGUCCUAUAAAUGAGAAAUGUAUACUUAAAAGAAUGUAAUUAAUGUAAUAUAGUACGGGAAAAAAUAAGUUGACCAACAGGCAUACCAUAACGAGUCGCAACCACUUGAACAAAUUCAUCAACUUUUUCGGCGUCAAGGUCUUUUGAUACCGGAAGUUGUAAAACAUUCAACUCAGUUGACUUGACCUCCUCAUUUGCCAUAAGUUGUAGAGCUGCCAUAUUUGUAAUAAAGUUUGUGUUAAUUAUUUUGAUAUCUAAAAAUAAUCUCUUUUGAUAGUCGAGGUUGAAGUAGGGGGGAGAAAGUAGUGAGAGUAAAAUCCGAACAUUUAUAUAUAAUAAAAUUAUACUAACCAGA